rnacentral:rRNA from 1 species
UACAGAGGGGGCAAGCGUUGUUCGGAAUUACUGGGCGUAAAGGGCGCGUAGGCGGCCUGUUAAGUCGAACGUGAAAUCCCCGGGCUCAACCCGGGAACUGCGUCCGAUACUGGCAGGCUUGAAUUCGGGAGAGGGAUGUGGAAUUCCAGGUGUAGCGGUGAAAUGCGUAGAUAUCUGGAGGAACACCGGUGGCGAAGGCGGCAUCCUGGACCGAUAUUGACGCUGAUGCGCGAAAGCCAGGGGAGCAAGCAGG